rnacentral:rRNA from 1 species
GACGAACGCUGGCGGCGUGCUUAACACAUGCAAGUCGAACGGAAAGGCCCUGCUUUCGUGGGGUGCUCGAGUGGCGAACGGGUGAGUAACACGUGAGUAACCUGCUCUUGACUUUGGGAUAACUUCAGGAAACUGGGGCUAAUACCGGAUAGGAGCUCCUGCUGCAUGGUGGGGGUUGGAAAGUUUCGGCGGUUGGGGAUGGACUCGCGGCUUAUCAGCUUGUUGGUGGGGUAGUGGCUUACCAAGGCUUUGACGGGUAGCCGGCCUGAGAGGGUGACCGGCCACAUGGGGACUGAGAUACGGCCCAGACUCCUACGGGAGGCAGCAGUGGGGAGUAUUGCACAAUGGGCGGGAGCCUGAUGCAGCAACGCCGCGUGCGGGAUGACGGCCUUCGGGUUGUAAACCGCUUUCGCCUGUGACGAAGCGUGAGUGACGGUAAUGGGUAAAGAAGCACCGGCUAACUACGUG